rnacentral:rRNA from 1 species
AUUGAACGCUGGCGGCAGGCCUAACACAUGCAAGUCGAGCGGAUGAAGGGAGCUUGCUCCUGGAUUCAGCGGCGGACGGGUGAGUAAUGCCUAGGAAUCUGCCUGGUAGUGGGGGAUAACGUCCGGAAACGGGCGCUAAUACCGCAUACGUCCUGAGGGAGAAAGUGGGGGAUCUUCGGACCUCACGCUAUCAGAUGAGCCUAGGUCGGAUUAGCUAGUUGGUGGGGUAAAGGCCUACCAAGGCGACGAUCCGUAACUGGUCUGAGAGGAUGAUCAGUCACACUGGAGCUGAGACACGGUCCAGACUCCUACGGGAGGCAGCAGUGGGGAAUAUUGGACAAUGGGCGAAAGCCUGAUCCAGCCAUGCCGCGUGUGUGAAGAAGGUCUUCGGAUUGUAAAGCACUUUAAGUUGGGAGGAAGGGCAGUAAGUUGAUACCUUGCUGUUUUGACGUUACCGACAGAAUAAGCACCGGCUAACUUCGUG